UAAGAAAAAACCUAAGACUUCAUUUGGUAGACUUCAUUUGGUUCGGAUAUAAACAAGAAUUGCUUAUUUCAAGGAUAGCUAUAAGUUCAGGUAUAAGUCUGGAAUAGAACAAUUUUACGUUUGGAUGAAAAUUGAGUUGUUUCCAAAAAUAAAAAAAUAGUAUUUGGAUAUAUAAGAUGGAAUAAGAAGAUUAGUAGGUAGUUAUAAAUAAAAAAUAAUGAUAUUGCCCUUAUAUUAUAUUGGAAUUUAAAAUUUAAAAUUUUAUAUUUAAAUUUUUAAACUUAAAUAUAUAACUUUUAAAUUUCAAAAAAUUAAAAUUAAAUUGAAAUUUUUAAAUCUCAAAUUCAAAAAUUCAAAGUUCUAAAUUUUAAAUUUAAAAUUAAUCAAAAUUUAAAUAUAUAAAAUAUCAAAUUUUAAAAUUUAAAAAAAUUAAAAUAUGAAUUUAAAAUUUAGAAUUUAGAAUUAAAAAAUUUUAAUUUUAAGAUUACAAAUUAUAAAUUUUUAAAAUUUAAAAUUUAAAAUUUAAAAUUAAAAUUUAAAUUUUUAAAAAUUAAAUAGAGGUGUGGAAAGAGUUGUU
rnacentral:lncRNA from 1 species